rnacentral:rRNA from 1 species
UACGGAGGAUCCAAGCGUUAUCCGGAUUUAUUGGGUUUAAAGGGUGCGUAGGCGGAUUGAUAAGUUAGAGGUGAAAUGUCCGAGCUCAACUCGGGAACUGCCUCUAAUACUGUUGAUCUAGAGAGUAGAUGCGGUAGGCGGAAUGUAUGGUGUAGCGGUGAAAUGCUUAGAGAUCAUACAGAACACCGACUGCGAAGGCAGCUUACCAAUCUAUAUCUGACGUUGAGGCACGAAAGCGUGGGGAGCAAACAGG